ensembl:snoRNA Gm26458 predicted gene, 26458
CUGCAUUCACUUUGGGACCUGUCAGCUGUGGUGUGUUCUCUUCCUUGCCAUGGAAGAGCUUUUUACUAUUGGAAAAGCUGUUAACCUUUACGUUAUAACAGAUUAGGACUUGCACAAGUAGCAUUC